CCUACGGGAGGCAGCAGUGGGGAAUAUUGGGCAAUGGAGGAAACUCUGACCCAGCGACGCCGCGUGAAUGAUGAAGUUCUUCGGAAUGUAAAGUUCUUUUCUAAGGGAAGAAGAAAGUGACGGUACCUUAGGAAUAAGCCUCGGCUAACUACGUGCCAGCAGCCGUGGUACUACGUAGGAGGGAAUCGUUAUCCGGAAUGACUGGGCGGAAAGGGUGCGUAGGGGGUUCAGCAAGUUUGUAGCGUAAUUCCGGGGCUCAACUUCGGCACUACUACUAAAACUGUUUGACUUGAGUGCAGGAGGGGCAAGUGGAAUUUCUAGUGUAGCGGUGAAAUGCUUAGAUAUGACGAAGAACCCCGAUUGCGAAGGCAGCUUGCUGCAGCGGAACUGACGCUGAUGCUCGAAAGCGCGGGUAUCGAACAGGAGUAGAUACCCGGGUAGUC
rnacentral:rRNA from 1 species